rfam:Anaeromyxobacter dehalogenans 2CP-C, complete genome.
GGGCGGAUAGCUCAGGGGUAGAGCGUCGCCCUUACAAGGCGAGGGUCACAGGUUCGAAGCCUGUUCCGCCCA